rnacentral:rRNA from 1 species
GACGAACGCUGGCGGUGUGCUUAACACAUGCAAGUCGAACGGUAAGGCCCUUUCGGGGGUACACGAGUGGCGAACGGGUGAGUAACACGUGAGUAACCUGCCCUCAUCUCUGGGAUAACAGUCGGAAACGGUUGCUAAUACUGGAUAUGAGCUUGCAAGGCAUCUUGUGGGUUGGAAAGAUUUUUUUUGGUUGGGGAUGGACUCGCGGCCUAUCAGCUUGUUGGUGAGGUAGUGGCUCACCAAGGCUUCGACGGGUAGCCGGCCUGAGAGGGCGACCGGCCACAUUGGGACUGAGAUACGGCCCAAACGCCUACGGGGGGCAGCAGGGGGGAAUAUUGCACAAUGGACGGAAGUCUGAUGCAGCAACGCCGCGUGCGGGAUGACGGCCUUCGGGUUGGAAACCGCUUUCAAUUGUGACGAAGCUUUUUUGUGACGGUAGCAGUAGAAGAAGCACCGGCUAACUACGU